AUGAACGCUGGCGGCGUGCCUAAUACAUGCCAGUCGAGCGAACAGACGAGGAGCUUGCUCCUCUGACGUUAGCGGCGGACGGGUGAGUAACACGUGGAUAACCUACCUAUAAGACUGGGAUAACUUCGGGAAACCGGAGCUAAUACCGGAUAAUAUAUUGAACCGCAUGGUUCAAUAGUGAAAGACGGUUUUGCUGUCACUUAUAGAUGGAUCCGCGCCGCAUUAGCUAGUUGGUAUGGUAACGGCUUACCAAGGCAACGAUGCGUAGCCGACCUGAGAGGGUGAUCGGCCACACUGGAACUGAGACACGGUCCAGACUCCUACGGGAGGCAGCAGUAGGGAAUCUUCCGCAAUGGGCGAAAGCCUGACGGAGCAACGCCGCGUGAGUGAUGAAGGUCUUCGGAUCGUAAAACUCUGUUAUUAGGGAAGAACAAAUGUGUAAGUAACUAUGCACGUCUUGACGGUACCUAAUCAGAAAGCCACGGCUAACUACGUG
rnacentral:rRNA from 1 species